rnacentral:rRNA from 1 species
CCUACGGGAGGCAGCAGUGAGGAAUAUUGGUCAAUGGACGAGAGUCUGAACCAGCCAAGUAGCGUGAAGGAUGACGGCCCUAUGGGUGGUAAACUUCUUUUAUAAAGGAAUAAAACGAGGCACGUGUGCCUUUUUGCAUGUACUUUAUGAAUAAGGAUCGGCUAACUCCGUGCCAGCAGCCGCGGUAAUACGGAGGAUCCGAGCGUUAUCCGGAUUUAGUGGGUUGAAAGGGAGCGUAGAUGGGUAGGUAAGUCAGUUGUGAAAGUUUCCGGCUCAACCGUAAGAUUGCAUUUGAUACUGGGUGUCUUGAGUACAGUAGAGGUAGACGGAAGUCGUAGUGUAGCGGUGAAAUGCGUAGAUAUUAGGAGGAACACCAGUGGCGAAGGCGGCUUACUAGACUGUAACUGACGCUGAUGCUCGAAAGCGUGGGGAGCAAACAGGAUUAGAUACCCGGGUAGUC